rnacentral:rRNA from 1 species
GACGAACGCUGGCGGCGUGCUUAACACAUGCAAGUCGAACGGAAAGGCCCUGCUUUUGUGGGGUGCUCGAGUGGCGAACGGGUGAGUAACACGUGAGUAACCUGCCCUUGACUUUGGGAUAACUUCAGGAAACUGGGGCUAAUACCGGAUAGGAGCUCCUGCUGCGUGGUGGGGGUUGGAAAGUUUCGGCGGUUGGGGAUGUACUCGCGGCUUAUCAGCUUGUUGGUGGGGUAGUGGCUUACCAAGGCUUUGACGGGUAGCCGGCCUGAGAGGGUGACCGGCCACAUGGGGACUGCGAUACGGCCCAGAAUCCUACGGGAGGCAGCAGGGGGGAAUAUUGCACAAUGGGCGGAAGCCUGAUGCAGCAACGCCGCGUGCGGGAUGACGGCCUUCGGGUUGUAAACCGCUUUCGCCGGUGACGAAGCGUGAGUGACGGUAAUGGGUAAAGAAGCACCGGCUAACUACGUG